rnacentral:rRNA from 1 species
UACGAGGGGUGCAAGCGUUAUUCGGAAUCAUUGGGCGUAAAGGGUGUGUAGACGGUAUAUUAAGUCUGCUGUUAAAUUUUUCGGCUUAACCGAAAAUCUGCGGCAGAAACUAAUAUGCUAGAGGAUGGAAGAGAGAAGUGGAAUUCUCGGAGUAGCGGUAAAAUGCGUAGAUCUCGAGAGGAACACCGAUGGCGAAGGCAGCUUCUUGGUCCAUUCCUGACGUUGAGGCACGAAAGCGUGGGGAGCAAACAGGAUUAGAUACCCCCGUA